UUAAAUCAAGCAAACGGACCAAACAAUUGCAAGGAGACAUCCUUGUUAGGCAUUAUGGAAGCUAUACAUACUAAUAUGCAGAUCCUAUUAAAUGUUGCGAUGAGUUUAAGACAAUACUCGAGCGUAAUGAUGGUUCUCU